UGCACAGACACCCAACAAUCCCACCCUGUCCCUCAGAGCGUUGUCCAAACGCUCCCUGAGCUCUGGCAACCUCGGGGCCGUGACCAAACCCUGGGGAGCCAGGGCAGUGCC